rnacentral:rRNA from 1 species
CCUACGGGAGGCAGCAGUGAGGAAUAUUGGACAAUGGGCGCAAGCCUGAUCCAGCCAUGCCGCGUGCAGGAUGACGGUCCUAUGGAUUGUAAACUGCUUUUAUACGAGAAGAAACACUGCUUCGUGAAGCAGCUUGACGGUAUCGUAAGAAUAAGGAUCGGCUAACUCCGUGCCAGCAGCCGCGGUAAUACGGAGGAUCCAAGCGUUAUCCGGAAUCAUUGGGUUUAAAGGGUCCGUAGGCGGUUUAAUAAGUCAGUGGUGAAAGCCCAUCGCUCAACGGUGGAACGGCCAUUGAUACUGUUAGACUUGAAUUAUUAGGAAGUAACUAGAAUAUGUAGUGUAGCGGUGAAAUGCUUAGAGAUUACAUGGAAUACCAAUUGCGAAGGCAGGUUACUACUAAUGGAUUGACGCUGAUGGACGAAAGCGUGGGUAGCGAACAGGAUUAGAUACCCUGGUAGUCCACGCCGUAAACGAUGGAUACUAGCUGUUGGGUGCAAACUCAGUGGCUAAGCGAAAGUGAUAAGUAUCCCACCUGGGGAGUACGUUCGCAAGAAUGAAACUCAAUGAAUUGACGG